rnacentral:misc_RNA from 1 species
UUAACGAUUAUAUAGAACUCAGACAACACUAAAUAACAGAGUUUAGGUCUCUGGCGGGCACUCCCCAGCCGAGGCCGAGAGGCGCCUUGCGGCACGCGGCCCGCCAAAGCAACAUUUGUAUAGUAGUCAAGGGUGGAGGGGGGUGACCCCAGGGUUUUGACACCCGGGGCCACGUCUCACUGUAAUGAUCCUUCCGCAGGUUCACCUACGGAAA